UGCUGUAGGUCAGUGGCAGAGCACUGAUCUUGUAAACCAGGGAUCGUGAGUUCAAUCCCCCCAGGGGGCAG
rnacentral:tRNA from 1 species